GAUGAACGCUGGCGGCGUGCCUAAUACAUGCAAGUCGAGCGAACAGAUAAGGAGCUUGCUCUUCUGGCGUUAGCGGCGGACGGGUAAGUAACACGUGGAUAACCUACCUAUAAGACUUGGCUAACUUCGGGAAACCGGAGCUACUACCGGAUAACAUAUUGAACCGCAUGGUUCAAUAGUGAAAGGCGGGUUGGCUGUCAAUUAUAGAUGGAUCCGCGCCGUAGUAGCGAGUUGGUAAGGUAACGGCUUACCAAGGCGACGAUACGUAGCCGACCUGGGAGGGUGAUCCGCCACACUGGGACUGAGACACGGCCCAGACUCCGACGGGCGGCAGCAGUAGGGAAUCUUCCGCGAUGGGCGAAAGCCUGACGGAGCAACGCCGCGUGAGUGCUGAAGGUCUUCGGAUCGUAAAACUCUGUUAUCGUUGAAGAACAAAUUUGUAAGUAACUGUGCUCAUCUUGACGGUACCUGAUCAGAAAGCCCCGGCUAACUACGUG
rnacentral:rRNA from 1 species